UCCAAUUCAUUUUAAUCACGUCAGCUCUUUGAAUAAGAUGAAAAAGUACAGUCCCCAUUUAGGCAGGAAAGGUUAAUUGGGACUCACAAAUUACACCCUAAACCAUUUUGAUUAAAUAAAAUACAUGCUUCAUGCACAUGUGGUUCUGCCUCUUUAUCUCUUUUUGUGUCUGUUGUUAACUUCUUUAAUCAAUGUUCUGGCCAACACUAAAUCCACAAGUGGAAUCAGCUCAUAUUCAUGUACAUCACUUCCUUUAAUGUAAACUUUUGUAGUUCUAUGCAUCUGAAUCAAUCACAAACCAUAAUCUAAUUUGGAUUGCUGGGGCCUAAAAUCGUCUCCAUAUAUCGAUCCCUGUCGCUCAAAAACUUCGUUGAGUUGUAAUCUUCUGCAGCAUAUAGUUCUUCUGAGUACGUCCUAUGAAGUUUCGAUUUCUGCCUCUCUUUCAAAAUUCUCAAACUCUCUUCUUCACCUCUUAGUAUCUGUACGACCUGUAUUGGUUCAAGAAAAAUAUAUUAGUAAGAUCCUCAACAAUGCAUCAAUUUUGCUUCUAUGAUUCUUUUUUCGUGUUAGUAAGGUGUUUACUGGCGUCAACUCACUAACUGUAUGCUUGGAAACAUGGUAGCUCACCUUGAAAAGAGUAUUGGGCGUGAGGGGUGUGGGAAAAAUCCUUCACUUUGGAUAGAUAAGACUCUUGAGAGGAGUUUAUAAAGAGGAGACAAUCCUCACCUUACAAGCCAAGCCGGUUUUAUAAGGUGAGGAUUGCCUCCUCUUUAUAAACUCUUCUCAAGAGUCUUAUCUAUCCGAUGUGGGACUUGGAUUUUUCCCAAUAGAUGUAGCUUUUGUCAUCAUGGAAAAAUGAUUUCCAAGAGACACUAAGUUUUUCUUUCCAGCAAAAUUAUUAGAAUUUAAUUUUGUCAAACUUUUUUUGCUUGCAAACCUCAAUUCGAUUAGAACUGACGUAAAACUAGCCUUUGCAUUCAGAGCCGGCCCAACACUUAUUGAGGCUUAAAGCGAACUCAAAAGAGCGGUCGUGACAAAAAAUAGAGGUAUUUUUAAUCUUCAUAAUACUUUUACCAACUUGGACCUUGGGUAGGCCAUGUUUGUUUUAGAUUGAAAAAUUUACACUAAAUUUUACAUCAAAUGAGUAAUAUCCAAAGGUAAAUCAUUUCACUUCAAACUCAAUUGUAAUGAAAUCAAUUUAUAAAAAUCUAUUCCAUUUAAAAUACUUGGAUAAGCAAAUAGAUAUGGUAAAAAUUAGUUUUAGUUAGGAAGAUACUUGGAUAAGCAAAUAUGCAAUAUGAAACUCAUAUAUAGAAAGUACAUGCCUGACUCAUAUGCGGUCGCUGUAUUGAGGACUGAUCUAUACACAUAGAAGCAGCUAAUAUUACAAGUUUCAUCUGUUCUGCAUCAUAAGCAUCAUCCAAAACUGGAUCAACUAGCUCUUUGAUGUUAUUACUAGUUAGCAAAGGUUUUGCCUGCCACAUUUAUUUUUCAUAAGAGUGUAUAAGAAUUGACCUUUUCAACAUCAAGAUGAUCAAUAAACAGAAUGCAAUAGCAGACACUUACCCACAUCACCAGACUUUUUUGUGAACUAUCCAAAGCUUGUCUCCCAGUAAUGAGCUCCAAUAAUAGUACACCAUAAGCAUAUACAUCAGUUUUUUCAUCUACUAUACCAUGCAUGAAGAAUUCAGGAGGAAGAUAGCUGUUUUGACAUUCACCAGAAGAAAAAUUUGUUAUAAGUUAAAUACUAGGUGAAAAGAGUACUGAAAAUGUGAAGAACUUGUGAAGCUGCUAAAAGAUACAAACCCAAAUGUGCCUUCCACUUUGGAGACAGUAUGGUGAGUCCAUUGAUCAGGUAACCACUUUGCAAGCCCAAAAUCAGAUAUCUGGUUUAAGAUUGGAGUUAAAAUUGUUACAAGAAACUUAGAUGAAACAAAAGUGCAUCUUUGGAUUGACAAUGAGUUUGACAGAAUCAGGUGUCCUUCGUGAUUUUGGCGAAAGUUACAUUUUGAAACUUCAACAAAAUCAUGUUAAUGUGAUUUUGGUAAACGCACAAAUUGUUGUUGAUUUAGAAUAUAAGAAUUAUAAUAUUUGCUGAAAAAUGCAUGUUUCAUAAAGAAUCAGAUUUGUGAGUCAUAAGAAGGACCUGAGGCUCAAAGUCCUCUGAGAGAAGUAUAUUAGAAGCUUUGAUAUCUUUGUGAAUAAUCCUUCUUUGACAUCCCUCAUGCAGAUAGUGAAGACCCUCAGCAGUCCCCAAAGUAAUCCUAUAUCUAAGGCUCCAAUUCAGUUUCUCUCUAGGUCCUGAAAUCCAUAAAAGGAAAGAAAUCAACCUUAAUUAAGUGAUUAUCAUAUAAGAUUGUGUAAGUUUUUUCUAUAACAAAAGAUAAAAUAAAGUCAAAUUAUUUUCUUACUAGUUAUAAGUUGUUUUCAUAAGCUAUCUUGAAGAGUUUAUAGAAAUAAGAUGAAAACAAUUUAAUCAUGAACAUGUCAUGAGAAGUUUCUAUAAGCUCUCUCAAACAAUCUCGUAGGUGAUUAUAUCAGUAGAUAAGUUCAAAUAAGUUAAUUCAAAAAGACUCUUGGAUUUGCAAAGAAAUAGAAAUUUUGAAACAUACCGUAGAGUAAGGAUGACAAGCUUCCAUGAGGAGACAAUUGAAGAACAAGAAACAUUCCACCUUCAACACCAUAUCCAAUCAAUCUAGCAAUAUUGGGGUGAUCCACAUGCACUAUAAUGCCAAGCUCAGACAAAAAGUCUGCAGUCAUUUCUUCUUGGCAACCUCUUGUCAACCUUUUAAUGGCAACAAAGUUUCCAUCUUCCAGUUUUCCUAAGUAAACCUCGGCAUAGCCUCCCUCCCCAAUCAAAUUAUCUUCAAAAAUAAAUACAUAAAACCUUAUAAGUCUAACAAGCUAUGACAAAACACAGACACGGCACCGGCACAGGUCCAACUACUUUGACUACAAGAUUAUUUCAUUUAGGGUAAGAGUUGUGAGUUUGAUCAGUCGUUUUGAAAUCUUUGAAACGGCACCGGCACAGGUGAACACAUAAGUGAUUGAAUAUAAUCAAACUUAUCGGUGCCUGACACUAACACGUGUCAGGCAAUGAGCACAUAUUCAAUCUAAAGUGUCGAUGUGACAUACCUUGGCUAAAGUCAUUGGUUGCAGCUUGGAUUUCUGCGAGAGUGAAAUUUUUCCAUGAAGAUUUGAAGCACAUAAACUCAGAAUCAAAAGAAGACUGAAGAGCUGGAGAAUUGAGAGAUGGAAUGAAUUCCUCCCUAAUUCUUUUGCUCUUUCGUCUAGUAAGUUUUGGAACAUUUUUCAGUGGAUGAAAGGUAUGAAAUGGCAUUUGUGGUCCCUUUUUGAUUAAUUUAAAGAAACCUCGCCAUUGUCUUGUACCUCCCUCGGAAUCAGAAGUGCUUGCCCUUGAACUUGGUGUAUCAGAUUCUUGACUUCUAGGUGAAUACUCGGAUUGGUCUCCGUUCUCAGUCUCUAAAACUGACAAGUCUAAUAACAUAUAUGGUACAUUCAUUCAAACAUUAGUACAGCAAAUAAAUAAUUGAAC
rnacentral:lncRNA from 1 species